rnacentral:rRNA from 1 species
UACGGGGGGUGCAAGCGUUGUUCGGAUUUACUGGGCGUAAAGGGCGCGUAGGCGGCCAGCACAAGUCAGUUGUGAAAUCUCCGAGCUUAACUCGGAAAGGUCAACUGAUACUGUGCGGCUAGAGUGCAGAAGGGGCAACUGGAAUUCUUGGUGUAGCGGUGAAAUGCGUAGAUAUCAAGAGGAACACCUGCGGCGAAGGCGGGUUGCUGGGCUGACACUGACGCUGAGGCGCGAAAGCCAGGGGAGCGAACGGG